UGGGGAAUUUUGGACAAUGGGCGCAAGCCUGAUCCAGCCAUGCCGCGUGCGGGAAGAAGGCCUUCGGGUUGUAAACCGCUUUUGUCAGGGAAGAAAUCUUCUGAGUUAAUACCUCGGGAGGAUGACGGUACCUGAAGAAUAAGCACCGGCUAACUACGUGCCAGCAGCCGCGGUAAUACGUAGGGUGCAAGCGUUAAUCGGAAUUACUGGGCGUAAAGCGUGCGCAGGCGGUUUUGUAAGACAGAGGUGAAAUCCCCGGGCUCAACCUGGGAACUGCCUUUGUGACUGCAAGGCUUGAGUGCGGCAGAGGGGGGAUGGAAUUCCGCGUGUAGCAGUGAAAUGCGUAGAUAUGCGGAGGAACACCGAUGGCGAAGCAAUCCCCUGGGCCUGCACUGACGCUCAUGCACGAAAGCGUGGGGAGCAAACAGGAUUAGAUAGCCCUGGUAGUCCACGCCCUAAAACGAUGUCAACUGGUUGUUGGGAAGGUUCCUUCUCAGUAACGUAGCUAACGCGUGAAGUUGACCGCCUGGGGAGUACGGCCGCAAGGUUG
rnacentral:rRNA from 1 species